UAUUGCUGAAUACUGUGCAAUUGAAAAUUUCUUGCUAUUGCACAAUACUUUAUAUAAUUAUUUUGGAUCCUGAUUUGAACCAACUUGAAAACUGGGCCCAUAAUCAACCAGAUGCUCCACAGGGCGCAGCUUUAUACGACCGCAGAGGUUGAACCCUGAACGGUUGGGGCAAGUAUGGACACAACAUUCAAGCUGGAUUCAGCUCUAAAUUUGGAUUGUGAUUAAAUAGUUGACACAGCAUAGGUUUCUGACACAGAAUGAAUGUGGUCUAAUGAACUUAAAAUAUUUUUUUUGCCUUUGAGCAAUUCACUAUGCUGUUGAAUAUUAAUCCUCUCAAAAAAAUGUUUGAAGAAAUUUUCUUUUUAUUUAUGAAAUCUGAAAUGAGAAAAAUUUAACCCCCCCCCUUUUUUUUCACAUCCCCCUUUCCCUUUUUCCAAAACUGAUCUCAAUUCAAAUUUCUAAUGGAGUUUGCAACAAUAACUACUCAUUUAAAUACAUCAUAAAAUAUUAAAAUGUAAAAAAAGGUGCUUGUUAUCACUGAAUGGUAAAGAUUGUUUUAAUUUAUCAGUUGGUAGUAAAAGUGAAUAUACAUUGUAUAUUGUAUAAAAC
rnacentral:lncRNA from 1 species